rnacentral:ribozyme from 1 species
UGAAAACGUUGCUCUACAAUGCGAUAGGUUUCCUUAGCCCCUCUGAGAGAUUACAUAGGUUCUCCUCUCCAACUCCUAUCCGGACAAGUGCCAGUUCGUGGAGAGUGGUAGCUUGGGUCAUCAAAUAUCCAAACUUGCGUACACGGACUUGUUCCAACCACUUGGGUAGAUGAUGGCGCAUGGCUAAUCAAGAGGGA